rnacentral:rRNA from 1 species
GGGCCCGCACAAGCGGUGGAGCAUGUGGUUCAAUUCGACGCAACGCGAAGAACCUUACCGGGGUUUGAACCGCACGGGACAGCUGCAGAGAUGCAGUCUUCCUUCGGGACCCGUGUAGAGGUGCUGCAUGGCUGUCGUCAGCUCGUGUCGUGAGAUGUUGGGUUAAGUCCCGCAACGAGCGCAACCCUUGCCUCCUGUUGCCAUCAGGUAAUGCUGGGCACUCUGGAGAGACUGCCGGUGAUAAACCGGAGGAAGGUGGGGAUGACGUCAAGUCCUCAUGGCCUCUAUGCCCCGGGCUACACACGUGCUACAAUGGCUGGUACAAAGGGUUGCAAAACCGCGAGGUGGAGCUAAUCCCAAAAAACCAGUCCCAGUUCGGAUUGCAGUCUGCAACUCGACUGCAUGAAGUUGGAAUCGCUAGUAAUCGCGGAUCAGCACGCCGCGGUGAAUACGUUCCCGGGCCUU